rnacentral:rRNA from 1 species
UACGUAGGGUGCGAGCGUUAAUCGGAAUUACUGGGCGUAAAGGGUGCGUAGGCGGAUUUUUAAGUCAGGGGUGAAAUCCCAAGGCUCAACCUUGGAACUGCCUUUGAUACUGGGGAUCUUGAGUCCGGGAGAGGUGAGUGGAACUGCGAGUGUAGAGGUGAAAUUCGUAGAUAUUCGCAAGAACACCAGUGGCGAAGGCGGCUCACUGGCCCGGAACUGACGCUGAGGCACGAAAGCGUGGGGAGCAAACAGG